rnacentral:rRNA from 1 species
UGUUUCGACACACUAUCAUGUCAUGAAUACAUAGUGGCAUGAGGCGAACCGGGGGAACUGAAACAUCUAAGUACCCCGAGGAAAAGAAAUCAACCGAGAUUCCCCCAGUAGCGGCGAGCGAACGGGGAGGAGCCCAGAACCUGAAUCGGCUUGUGUGUUAGUGGAAGCGUCUGGAAAGUCGCGCAGCAAAGGGUGAUAGCCCCGUACACUAAAAUGCACAGGUCGUGAGUUCGAUGAGUAGGGCGGGACACGUGACAUCCUGUCUGAAUAUGGGGGGACCAUCCUCCAAGGCUAAAUACUCCUGACUGACCGAUAGUGAACCAGUACCGUGAGGGAAAGGCGAAAAGAACCCCGGCGAGGGGAGUGAAAUAGA